rfam:Stentor coeruleus isolate WM001 SteCoe_contig_121, whole genome shotgun sequence.
GCGGGCAUGGUCUAGUGGUAUGACGACUGCUUCACACGCAGUAGGUCGUGGGUUCGAUCCCCGCUGCCCGUA